AAUUUUCUGCACUCGCCUCUGGGAGUUCGACUGAUGGGUACGCGCGGCGGUUCCGAUGAGCCGAUUGUUCGAACCCCAUGGGGGCCGAUUCAAAUGGUUGAUUCACUACAUCUGCUAUGACAAUGCCCAUCACAUCUUCACGGUCUGGACCUUUGGGUGGGCCUCAUGGUGGAGCUAUUUACACUGCACUGCAAUACUUGUUGAAUUGUUACUUACAGAUGCUUCUCAAAAGUGAUAAUAUGUAUGGCAUGAUCUAAUUAAUGAAUUGACUGCAUAUGUACGUGUGA